rnacentral:lncRNA from 1 species
AAAAAGAAUUAUGAAUACUAAUAAUAAUAAAUAAUUUUUAAGAACUGAAAAUGAUACAAAAAAUUUUAUACAAAUAUCUGAUGGAUGAUGCUGAUCUAUGCUCUUGGUGCCCAGGGUGGACUGCCCCUUCAUCCCCCUCUGGCAUCGGGGCACUGAGACCCCUAGAGUUGGUAUCGAUCCCAAGUUGUCACGUAGGGAAUUAUCUUUACUUGGCACUUAUAUAUCAUGUUCAGUUAAUUUGCCAUUAAUUCAUAUUUCCUCAUUUUCAGCUAUUGUUAAACAAAUCUUGAUUUGUGAUUCUGAUCUCAGUAAGCC